rnacentral:rRNA from 1 species
GGUUAAGCGACUAAGCGUACACGGUGGAUGCCCUGGCAGUCAGAGGCGAUGAAGGACGUGCUAAUCUGCGAUAAGCGCCGGUAAGGUGAUAUGAACCGUUAUAACCGGCGAUUUCCGAAUGGGGAAACCCAGUGUGACUCGUCACACUAUCAUUAACUGAAUCCAUA